GAUGGUGAUGUGAUGACUAAUCUUUUUUCCCCAGCAGAUCGACUAUGUUGACCAUAGCUAAACUCUAAGCCAAUUUUGUCUGAUUCACCAGU